rnacentral:rRNA from 1 species
CCUACGGGAGGCAGCAGUGGGGAAUAUUGGACAAUGGGCGAAAGCCUGAUCCAGCCAUGCCGCGUGUGUGAAGAAGGCCUUCGGGUUGUAAAGCACUUUCAGUGGGGAAGAAAGCCUUGGGGCUAAUACCCUCGAGGAAGGACAUCACCCACAGAAGAAGCACCGGCUAACUCCGUGCCAGCAGCCGCGGUAAUACGGAGGGGUGCGAGCGUUAAUCGGAAUUACUGGGCGUAAAGCGCGCGUAGGCGGUCUGAUAAGCCGGUUGUGAAAGCCCCGGGCUCAACCUGGGAACGGCAUCCGGAACUGUCAGGCUAGAGUGCAGGAGAGGAAGGUAGAAUUCCCGGGGUAGCGGUGAAAUGCGUAGAGAUCGGGAGGAAUACCAGUGGCGAAGGCGGCCUUCUGGACUGACACUGACGCUGGGGUGCGAAAGCGUGGGUAGCAAACAGGAUUAGAUCCCUUGUAGUC